UGUGGGCUCAUCUUCUGGCAUCACCGCCCUGACACAAUUUGAGCAGACCUCCUUGCCAGUUAUUUACCUGCAAUAGCUGCCUAUGUUGAGGCAAACUAACUGCGUCCUGCGUCGCGGUGCGACUGGACUGACCAGAGAUGAGUUCUCCAAUGUUGUUGACGAUGCAAGCGUCGCAUCGUGAAUGGUAGCAGAUGUCGUCGCGUGAAAGCUGUGCAUAUGGCCUCGGGGAACCAGACUAUGGUCCUGAUGAGAAGAGCACCCUCGCCUCCUUCAACAAGCAGAGAAGCAAGAUGGAGGACAAGAUCCUACAGGACUUCCCGGGGAUGAUUGCCAUCAAGGAGAGAAAGUAACUCAGAUGCCAGACCCCGCCUCCGUCACUGGGGAAGAGUUUCCACGUCAGGAUCUCAGGCAGUGGUUCACACAGGCAAGGAAGACUGCAGUUCCUUGCUUCCACGCAGCGACGUAAAUCUGUGCUGGGGACUAGGGAUAAAUAUGCUGGGUACCAAGGGACACUGGGGGCGCUGUUCGUGAUGUACAAUGUACACCAGGGGUACCGCAGACAUGUAAACGCAGAGACUGUCAAUCUCGCAUGUAUAACCAUGAUUUUAUAAAGUAUACGCAAACAAUGGGUGAGACGAUGGUUGGUAGCGUGUUCAGUGCACAUUACCCACAACAAGUACAUGUACUCUUAUAUGGUCUGUAUUUGGUUCCAUGUGCUCCCAAUAUACACUCACUUUUUUUCCUCUUCGGCACUGUUAUCUCAUUAUUUUGAAUCUACAUAGGCCAAAAUUAAGUAAAUAAAAGUUUUUUUGCCAUCGAAAAACGGCUUCAUGGAAUUUGCCGAGUGGAAUUCUUCAACUGUGCGUAAGUUCCCUAUUACGAGGGGUGAAUUUGCUUUCAGUGUUGAUUUUAGUCGGGCACCACACUGAUCACUGAAAUCUCAAUGUAGUUUGGAAUGUGAGCUGGGGGUCUGUGCGUUUAUAUGUCUGGUACAGUAUGCACACAUGUAAAUCGCUGUCUUGAACUAUGCAAUAACGGGGGGGGGGAUUAGUGCAUACUACUUAACACUAGGGGGCGCUGUUUAUGAUACGAUUGAUUCUGUAUUCUUCCACUCUUUAACCUUACAUUAAAACUGUGUGUUAUCUGCCUAUUUAGGGCUACUAGAAUGCAUUCUGGCUGUCGGGGAGUUUCAAAAAUACAUGUACCUCAGAAUCUGCAUUUUUUGUCACCGCCAGAAAAUUGUGGGCAGCCCCUACCCCGAUCACAAAGUGCGGGCAGGGGGGGCAUGUAAAUUCAAACCCUGUUAACAGCAUUGUGAACGCAACAUUCUGCUCUUGUAACCAGGACAUUUUGAGGUCCCAAUCGCUUCGUUCUUCAUUGCUUCCAUUCCUGAUAAUGCAAGGUUCCUAUUAAUACAAAGUAAUCUGCAAAGCCUGCUGGACCUCUUAGUUUGACUGCACCCCCCCCACCCCACAGAUUUACGCCCCUGCCAUCCUGUCAUGAAGCAAGACUGUAUGUUUGUACAUGUAUAUUAGUGGGAAAGAGUUCCAUACACCGACAUCACUUGACACCCUGUGUACAAAGCCUACCAAGCUGGGCCAGGAAAUUCCAAGCAGUAAACUCUUCAAUAUUUUCCCUGUUAAAUUUGAAUUUUUAAGACCGUAUUGCUUCUAGAUGGCUGAUUUACAUGUCCCAUUGCACGCAGAAAGUGUAUGGAAACUCUUUCCAUAAUUCUUUCAUCCAAAUUCAUGACUGGAAAGGAUAUUUUUCCAUUUAAAGUAAUGAUUGGUCAGAUUACAUUUCAACAACCAUUCCAAGUAAUUUGAUCAUGAUACAUUCACUCGCAUAUUUGGGCAUAUUUAUUGCUUUUAAUUCAUUUUGGGGGAGUCAGGUUUACAUAGCAGCUCUUUCCUCAUCUUCCGCCUUCCGUGGCUCAGGUUCGAAUCCCACCAAGGCCCACAACCUCUCAAAACUGAAGAUGUAUUUUCCUUUUCAUUGCUGCUCAUAGUCAUCCUGCAAUUAGUGCUGAAUAUUCAUGAGAUGAUUAACAAUAGCAAACUAUUCAUGCCAGCCAUGUACAUGUAAAUAAUCUCUACGGGAUGAUUUUCAAUUGGCCAUUAAAGUACAGUCAGUGUGGUGACUAUUACAUUUUUCCGGCCAUUUUCGGAUGUGAGAUGGGGAUAGUGUUAAGUUUUUAGGGCUGGGAAGAAAAACCCAAAUAGAUAUUCAAGAGGGAAGCCCACGGAAUCAAGUAGAGACUGCAAACCCAAUGAGCUCAGACAAGAUGUGAUUCUGGGUCGCUGAGGUGGAAGGCGAGGAAGGUAUCACUCUGCCAACCUGACUCCCCAAAAUAAAACUCGUAAUGUUAUCACAAUGCUUAACUUCAAAAAGUGUAAGUCGUCGUGUCAGUGCUAAAAGGUCCUUACAGGCAAAUUACAUCUAAUGGUCCUUAUUGAAAAAUAUUAUUUUUUAAACAGAAAAUUGGGCAAGAAAAAUUGGUUGAAAUUAAAUAUAUUGGCCCCAGAAAAAUAAUUGAAUAAAUGAAAGUGAAACAAAUGUUGUCAGGUUUCAAUCCAUGUACAACAUUUCCUUCAUGCUCAGAGUAAGACCCAGAAAGUAUUUUCAAAAUUUUAUUUUUGCUGCAAUGACCUUUUAGCACUGACGCGAGGAAUUUGUACCAUAAAACAGUCCCCAUUUAGAAAGACUAGUCUUGGGGCGCUACAAAAUUUUACAACCAUGUUGCCUGCUUGUAAAAAGUGACUAGCGUACUGCACAUUUCACAUCUCCCCUUUUCCCAUUCAUUCCAAAUACCAGUUCUGUACCCAUCAAUGUUGUCUAGCUCACCACGUGGCCGUUCCAAACCUCAUUGGAAAACCUUUCAUUAUCACCCCAUGGAAAUGGUUCUAUAUGCCUUUGAAUUUUCCCCAAGGAAGCCUUUUAUUAGCCUUUCCAAUUUCAAUUAUCACAAAAAUUCUAAAUCAGAAAUUUGCUUGGUGUAGAAAUUUGAGCUUGCUGUGGAAAUAUGCCUUUUCUGGGUAUAUUUAUCAAACGUUUACUAUGUAUCAGAACCAUUCAAUUGUACUUGUGUUUUCAUGAAAUAAAUGUUUAAACUAACA